rnacentral:rRNA from 1 species
AUUGAACGCUGGCGACAGGCCUAACACAUGCAAGUCGAACGCGUGGCGGACGGGUGAGUAAUGUCUGGGAAACUGCCUGCUGGAGGGGGGUAACUACUGGAAACGGUAACUAAUACUGCAUACCCUCAGAUGUGUCCAGAGGGGAUUAGCUAGUUGGUGGGGUAACGGCUCACCAAGGCGACGAUCCCUAGCUGGUCUGAGAGGAUGACCAGCCACACUGGAACUGAGACACGGUCCAGAAGUCUACGUGAGGCAGCAGUGGGGAAUAUUGCACAAUGGGCUCUAUCCUGAUGCAGCCAUGCCGCGUGUAUGAAGAAGGCCUUCGGGAUGUAAAGUACUUUAAGCGGGGGGGCGUUACCCGCAGAAGAAGCACCGGCUAACUCCGUGCCAGCAGCCGCGGUAAUUC